rnacentral:rRNA from 1 species
UCCAGACUCCUACGGGAGGCAGCAGUGGGGGAUAUUGCACAAUGGGGGGAACCCUGAUGCAGCGACGCCGCGUGGGUGAAGGAGCGUUUCGGCGCGUAAAGCCCUCUCGGCAGGGAAGAAGGAGGACGGUACCUGACUAAGAAGCCCCGGCUAACUACGUGCCAGCAGCCGCGGUAAUACGUAGGGGGCAAGCGUUAUCCGGAUUUACUGGGUGUAAAGGGGGCGCAGACGGCAGCGCAAGCCAGGAGUGAAAGCCCGGGGCCCAACCCCGGGACUGCUCUUGGAACUGCGCGGCUGGAGUGCAGGAGGGGCAGGCGGAAUUCCUGGUGUAGCGGUGAAAUGCGUAGAUAUCAGGAGGAACACCGGUGGCGAAGGCGGCCUGCUGGACUGCGACUGACGUUGAGGCCCGAAAGCGUGGGGAGCAAACAGGAUUAGAUACCCCAGUAC